GUGGGACUUGGUAUCUUGUGAUUGUGUGUUUCCUGAUUAUAAAAUAAAUUCCUAGAACUGUUAAUGGUAACAACACAAAGCACUAUAGACCCAUACGAGGAUCAUAUUGAAACCAAUGACAUUUAAGAAUAAAAGAUCUGAUGAAUAUGAACACUUCCCUGGUUCCUAGGAGGAUAACAGUUGAGUUUUGCUCAGAAGAGCAAGUCAGGGCUCCGAGCACUAAGUGACUUGGCUGAGGUCAAACUGCCUGCAAGUUUUAUCUAAUAGUGACAGAGGAACCAAUGUGUCGAGCAUGAAUGUCAGUCCAUUGAAACAGUGCCCACUUUUCUGACUCUGCUCCUUAAGAGACAGGGCCUGUACAGCAAGGACACAGAGAAGCAGGUUACAGAAAAAGGGCUGGCUCAUCCGUGUAUGCCUGGCAUUUGAGGAAUGUGGCUGAAAUCUCAACACUCUGGUUCAGAAGCACAUCUGCAAUCAAAUAUAACAAGACAUGGUAUGAGAGAUGUCUGGCAUACCAAGGAGAUUCCUAGAAUACAGCGGAUAGGAAAACCUCAUUACUUCAAUUCCCAAGAAAGAGUACUACUGGUAGUAAUCCCAACAGGAGUAUCCAAGUAACUCGGUAAUCUUCAGUAAAGAAAAGAAAUUGUGAAACAAUUAUAGUCAGUCCUCCAUCUCUGUAGGUUCCACAUCUGUGGAUUCAACUCAC
rnacentral:lncRNA from 10 species